GGUAAACGGCGGCCGUAACUAUAACGGUCCUAAGGUAGCGAAAUUCCUUGUCGGGUAAGUUCCGACCUGCACGAAUGGCGUAACGACUUCCCCGCUGUCUCCAACAUAGACUCAGCGAAAUUGAAUUGCCUGUCAAGAUGCAGGCUUCCCGCGGUUAGACGGAAAGACCCCGUGCACCUUUACUACAGCUUCGCACUGGCAUCAGGCACAACAUGUGCAGGAUAGGUGGUGGGCUUUGAAGCAGAAACGCCAGUUUCUGUGGAGCCUCCCUUGAGAUACCACCCUUGUUCUGCUUGAUGUCUAACCGCGGUCCGUUAUCCGGAUCCGGGACCCUGCGUGGCGGGUAGUUUGACUGGGGCGGUCGCCUCCUAAAGAGUAACGGAGGCGCGCGAAGGUUGGCUCAGAGCGGUCGGAAAUCGCUCGUUGAGUGCAAUGGCAGAAGCCAGCCUGACUGCGAGACUGACAAGUCGAGCAGAGACGAAAGUCGGCCAUAGUGAUCCGGUGGUCCCGAGUGGAAGGGCCAUCGCUCAACGGAUAAAAGGUACGCCGGGGAUAACAGGCUGAUACUGCCCAAGAGUCCAUAUCGACGGCAGUGUUUGGCACCUCGAUGUCGGCUCAUCUCAUCCUGGGGCUGGAGCAGGUCCCAAGGGUAUGGCUGUUCGCCAUUUAAAGAGGUACGUGAGCUGGGUUUAGAACGUCGUGAGACAGUUCGGUCCCUAUCUGCCGUGGGUGUAGGAUACUUGAGAGGAGUUGCCCCUAGUACGAGAGGACCGGGGUGAACGAUCCACUGGUGGACCUGUUGUUGCGCCAGCAGCAGUGCAGGGUAGCUAUGAUCGGACAGGAUAACCGCUGAAGGCAUCUAAGCGGGAAGCCCCCCUCAAAACAAGGUAUCCCUGAGGGCCGUGGAAGACCACCACGUCGAUAGGCCGGAGAUGUAAGCAUGGUAACAUGUUCAGUUGACCGGUACUAAUGGCCCGAUAGGCUUGAUUUG
rnacentral:rRNA from 1 species